UACGUAGGGAGCAAGCGUUGUCCGGAAUCACUGGGCGUAAAGAGCGUGUAGGCGGUCUGCCAAGUCUGUUGUGAAAGCGCCUGGCUUAACUGGGCGAGGUCGACGGAAACUGGCAAACUGGAGGCCGGUAGAGGAGGGUGGAAUUCCGGGUGGAGCGGUGAAAUGCGUAGAGAUCCGGAGGAACACCGACGGCGCAGGCAGCGUCCUGGCCGCUUGCUGACACUGAGGCACGAAAGCUGGGGGGAGCAAACAGG
rnacentral:rRNA from 1 species